GAUGAACGCUGGCGGCGUGCCUAAUACAUGCAAGUCGAGCGAACAGAUGAGGAGCUUGCUCCUCUGACGUUAGCGGCGGACGGGUGAGUAACACGUGGAUAACCUACCUAUAAGACUGGGAUAACUUCGGGAAACCGGAGCUAAUACCGGAUAAUAUAUUGAACCGCAUGGUUCAAUAGUGAAAGACGGUUUUGCUGUCACUUAUAGAUGGAUCCGCGCCGCAUUAGCUAGUUGGUAAGGUAACGGCUUACCAAGGCAACGAUGCGUAGCCGACCUGAGAGGUGGGCCGCCCACCCUGCACCAGAGCCCGGCCCCAGCCCCCCAGGGGAGGAGCCAGGGGGGAUCCUCCCAAAGUGGGCGAAGGCUGGACGCGGCACCGCCGGGGGGGGAUUAAGGUUUUUGGCAUCGAAAACCUUUUUUAUUGGGAAAAAACAAUUUUGAAAGAAACAUGCCCCUUCUUCACGUUCCCUAAUAGAAAACCCCCGCCCACCUACGUC
rnacentral:rRNA from 1 species